rnacentral:rRNA from 1 species
CGUGCCAUUAGCUAGUUGGGGGGGUAACGGCCCACCAAGGCGACGAUGGCUAGGGGAGCUGAGAGGCUGAUCCCCCACACUGGUACUGAGACACGGACCAGACUCCUACGGGAGGCAGCAGUGGGGAAUUUUCCGCAAUGGGCGAAAGCCUGACGGAGCAAUACCGCGUGAGGGAAGAAGGCUCUUGGGUUGUAAACCUCUUUUCUUAGGGAAGAAAAAAAUGACGGUACCUAAGGAAUAAGCAUCGGCUAACUCCGUGCCAGCAGCCGCGGUAAUACGGAGGAUGCAAGCGUUAUCCGGAAUGAUUGGGCGUAAAGCGUCCGCAGGUGGUUUAUCAAGUUUGCGGUUAAAGGUUCUGGCUCAACCAGAGACAAGCCGUGAAAAC